UACGAAGGGGGCUAGCGUUGCUCGGAAUCACUGGGCGUAAAGCGCACGUAGGCGGAUUGUUAAGUCAGGGGUGAAAGCCCAGAGCUUAACUCUGGAAUUGCCUUUGAGACUGAGAGGCUUGAGUACGGGAGAGGUGAGUGGAAUUCCCAGUGUAGAGGUGAAAUUCGUAGAUAUUGGGAAGAACACCGGUGGCGAAGGCGGCUCACUGGCCCGUAACUGACGCUCAUGCACGACAGCGUGGGGAUCAAACAGG
rnacentral:rRNA from 1 species